rnacentral:sRNA from 1 species
GCCUUAGCAAGACUUUCCUGUGCAUUUAAGACAGAAAACCAAACUCGCCAGGUGGUAUGUGACCUUGGAAACCCAAUGAAGGCUGGAACUCAACUCUUAGCUGGUCUUCGUUUCAGUGUGCACCAGCAGUCAGAGAUGGAUACUUCUGUGAAAUUUGACCUACAAAUCCAAAGCUCAAACCUAUUUGACAAAGUAAGCCCAGUUGUAUCUCACAAAGUUGACCUUGCUGUUUUAGCUGCAGUUGAGAUAAGAGGAGUCUCGAGUCCUGAUCAUAUCUUUCUUCCGAUUCCAAACUGGGAGCACAAGGAGAACCCUGAGACUGAAGAAGAUGUUGGGCCAGUUGUUCAGCACAUCUAUGAGGUUUGCAGUUGUUAGAUUUUACUCAAACCUAGUGAGCAAGCCAACGAAGAGAGGAACAACUAAGCUACUUUAAAAAAAAAAUUCUAUGUAAUUUUUAUGUAAACUCCACAUUGGUUAAGUAUGUGUCAGAGAUUUCUUUGAAUAUUUUCCCUAUACAUAAAUUCAUUUUUAUUUGACAGAUAGACUUGUUUAAAUAAAGCAGUUUAUAUAAUUUGUUGUUUAAAAUCAAUUAGUUCUACUUGAA